AUGACUCUGAAUAAAAAUCCUAAUGAAGACAUUUCCACCAAGCCCACAGUAUUUCUUCCUUCAAUUGCUGAAAUAAAAGCCCUUAAGGCUGGAACAUAUCUUUGUCUUCUUGAGGAUUUUUUCCCUGAUGUUAUCAAGAUAGAUUGGAAAGAAAAGGAUGACAAAAAAAAUUCUGAAAUCCCAACAGGGAAACACCAUGAAGACUAAGGACACAUACAUGAAAUUCAGUUGGCUGACCGUGACUGGAGCGUCAAUGGUUAAAGAACACAAAUGUAUCAUCAAACACAAGAAUAAUAAAGGAAGAGUUGAUGAAGAAAUUCUUUUUCCUUCAGUAAACAAAGUGAAUGUAUUUCUUACCAUUGGUAAAUCUUCUCGGCAGACAUCUAUUGCCAUCCUCAUUUGGUGGCAGCAACAGUAUCCAAAGUGGACUUCUCGGCAUUCAGAGAUAAGGAGAAACACAGGGGUGAUAACUGUGAGGCCUAUGAGUUCAUUGUCUUUCUCACCAUUCUCAAGGGCUCUAGGUGUUUGCAAUGGAUUGAUAAGCUAUCUCGUUGCUCUCCUGCUACCUGGUGUGGUCUCAGCCUGCUACUUCUCUGCCAUCUUGACUCCUCUGCACAAGGGUCUUACAGGAUUCUUGCAUUCUUUACAGUCUGAGAAACCAACAUCUGAGAACCAACAUCUGAAGGUAGAGAAUCACUUGAGAGGAACACAAAACAACACAAGUCCGUGA